GUCAACGACCCGCCACCAAACCUAACGGUUAUGGUGGGGGCUUGUGAAAGCAAGUCCGCAAGUUGACCAGGCACAGCCACUAGCGAGAGACCGCUGAUGGGGCUACGUUAGCGGCGAAUACAUAGGCACCUUGGAAUGCCCACCCAGUUCCAAGCUCUGCG
rnacentral:sRNA from 15 species